AUUUAACCUUUUAAAAUAUAUCAGCAAUAAAUAUUUAAGUUUCUAAUAACUCGUAUCUUUUUAAUUAAGAUCAUAAUUAACAAAGUUUGUGGAACAUUAAUAUGCUGGUUUCAUAACAGGCUCCCUGAUAGAUUGUCAGUAACUUGGCCUGAAGGAGAUGAAUUAUUGCCUAAUGAGGUUAGGCCUGCUGGAACCCCUAUUGGUGCGUUAAGAAUUGAAAUACUGAAUAAAAAAGGGGAAGCAAUGCAAAAGCUUCCAGGAACAAGCCAUGGAGGGUCAAAGAAACUCCUGGUUGAGCUCAAAGUUAUUUUACAUUCUUCAAGUGGAAAUAAAGAGAUUAUUUCGCAUAUUAGUCAACAUGGAGGAAAAUGGCCUUACUGGUUUAAAAAAAUGGAAAAUAUUCAGAAGUUGGGGAAUUAUACCUUGAAAUUACAAGUUGUGUUGAAUGAAAGUAAUGCAGACACUUAUGCAGGAAGACCACUACCAUCUAAAGCAAUUAAGUUUUCUGUUAAAGAGGGUAAGCCAGAGAAAUUUUCAUUUGGUCUU
rnacentral:lncRNA from 1 species